rfam:Lupinus angustifolius cultivar Tanjil chromosome LG12, whole genome shotgun sequence.
UAUGUGCCUGUGCUGGUGUUAAAUAUACUCCGAGAUUUAUUUCAAUGAUAUCAAUUUUCAUCUGAGGCACUCA